rnacentral:rRNA from 1 species
UACGUAGGUGGCAAGCGUUGUCCGGAAUUAUUGGGCGUAAAGCGCGCGCAGGCGGUCCUUUAAGUCUGAUGUGAAAGCCCACGGCUCAACCGUGGAGGGUCAUUGGAAACUGGGGGACUUGAGUACAGAAGAGAAGAGUGGAAUUCCACGUGUAGCGGUGAAAUGCGUAGAGAUGUGGAGGAACACCGGUGGCGAAGGCGGCAUCCUGGACCGGUAUUGACGCUGAGGCGCGAAAGCCAGGGGAGCAAACGGG